AUCAUCUUAGAUUAUCUUAUAUUAUGUUUUAGAAUAAGGCCUAAGUUUUAUGUGUGUGUGUGUGUGUGUGUGUGUGUGUGAGAGAGAGAGAGAGAGAGAGAGAGAGAGAGAGUAUGUGUGCAUGCAUGUAGAAGCCAGAGGUUGAUGUUGGAUGCUUUAAGCAAUCACUCUCCACCUUAUUUUUAAAGACCACCUCUUACUGAACGUGGCACUUGCUGUUUUGACUAGAUCAUCUGGCCAAGAAGUUCUAGGAAUCCUCCUGUCUCUGCCUCCCAAGCUCUGGGGUUACACACAGCCAAGAACCUGGAGCUUCAAGGAUGGAACUCCAGGACCCUGCUUACUGCUCAGAGGAGUGGAACUUGGACAUCCUAAAAGGCGUCCUGAACUGCUAGUUAGUAACCCAGCCCCGGAGCCCCACACUCUACAGAUUACUGUGCUUCUGGUAAAGAGCAAUCCUGAAACAUUGCCUUCUUCUAUAGUAGUUCAACCAAGCCAUCUGGUCUACCACCUGCACGGACAAGGCCACUCAGGGACGGCUGUUUGUUUUAGAGAUUUUAGAAGCAGGAUAAAGCUGGCCUAAAAUUAGAUUGACAGUGUUUUUUGGCUAUUGUCCACUCUCACUCCUGAAGAGCAUUUUCUGUUUUGCCUUGUGAUAAACUCUGUCCUCUACAGGCCAAAGUUCAGGCAACAUUUCUGCCAGCUACAAUUAUCUUCCCUUCAUCUUUGUUGUGGUAGAUCACGGACUCCCUUCCUGAUGUUGAAACCAUGACCUUUUUGGCCAUUAUUUCCCUCUGUAGAUGCGUUGCUGAAUCCAGGAUCUGCCUUGCUGGUCUACUGCAGAGGGCACGUGUUCUUUCUCCACAUGUGUUUCAGCUGACUGAUACGCCUGUGCUAACCCAGCUCGGGGUCUCAGAGGGGUGGCUGCUCACAGGUCACAGUCCUUCCUGUGUCCUAUUUCCAAGCAAGGAGAGUACUGUACUUCCUAUGCCGAAUCAGGGACAUGAUACUAGACCCCCAAGUGGUGGGUCUUUAUUUAUUUUUUUAAUGCAUUCAUUUUUCGUAAUGUACUACCCGGGUCCUAUAGGGGAACGCCAUUUCUCCCUUGCAGCCCUUAGCUUCUGAUAUGCUGUGACCAGGACAUGUGACACAUUCCCUUUUGGGUUUAGUUUUGGUCUUCCUAGAACCUGUUAGGAAAGAAGCUCAUGAUGUGGCUGUAAGUCAACCUUGCCUUCACUAUGUACCGAGAAAAGUAGAAGUUGACUUCUUCUAGCCAAGGAGACUCUGGGCAAAGCAAGAUAUCUGGAACAGGAUCCUUAGGUAUUUCUUCCCAUCACUGUUGUUUCUUUGAGACAGGGUUUCUCUGAGUAGCUCUGGCUAUCCUGAAACUUGUAGAUCAGGCUGACCUGGAACUUAUAUAUCCAUCUACCUCUGCCUCCCAAGUGCUGGGAUUAAAGGUGUGGGCCUUGCCAGACACCC
rnacentral:lncRNA from 1 species